rnacentral:rRNA from 1 species
AGAGUAACGGAGGCGCCCAAAGGUUCCCUCAGCCUGGUUGGCAAUCAGGUGUUGAGUGUAAGUGCACAAGGGAGCUUGACUGUGAGACCGACGGGUCGAGCAGGGACGAAAGUCGGGACUAGUGAUCCGGCGGUGGCUUGUGGAAGCGCCGUCGCUCAACGGAUAAAAGGUACCCCGGGGAUAACAGGCUGAUCUUCCCCAAGAGUCCAUAUCGACGGGAUGGUUUGGCACCUCGAUGUCGGCUCGUCGCAUCCUGGGGCUGGAGUCGGUCCCAAGGGUUGGGCUGUUCGCCCAUUAAAGCGGUACGCGAGCUGGGUUUAGAACGUCGUGAGACAGUUCGGUCCCUAUCCGCUGUGCGCGUAGGAAUAUUGAGAAGGGCUGUCCCUAGUACGAGAGGACCGGGACGGACGAACCUCUGGUGUGCCAGUUGUCCUGCCAAGGGCAUGGCUGGUUGGCUACGUUCGGGAGGGAUAACCGCUGAAAGCAUCUAAGCGGGAAGCCUGCUUCGAGAUGAGUAUUCCCACCUCCUUGAGAGGGUAAGGCUCCCAGUAGACGACUGGGUUGAUAGGCCAGAUAUGGAAGCCUGGUAACGGGUGGAGUUGACUGGUACUAAUAGGCCGAGGGCUUGUCCUCAGUUG